GAGACAAGGGGAGGGCGGGGGCGGGGGCGGGGGGGAGCGCUCAGUGGAGCUGGGCAUGCUCAGUGAGCCACCAGAGGCAGUGGACCCUUAGGCGUAGCACCUGCACCGCCCUGCCCUGGGGAGGCGACCCCGAGUACCCACGCGGGACACUGGUAAAGGGGGCAUUGUUGGACAUGACUAGCUCUGUCUGGUUCCUGGAGAGGGACAUAAAGGGUGUGUUUGUGCUAGGGUACAAAGAGAGGAUGGCAUCUUCCUUUGCCACCGGAGUAUUGGGGAACUAGGAGGUGCGACCGGCCUUUGGCUUCCUGCACAGUCGGAAUCCGGAGGAUCUUUAAGGUGGUGUGGCCGGGAAUACCACCUCUGGGCUGAGAAUCGCUUCGCAUGGGUUUGGGAUGAGCGGUAGUAGUGGACUAGACAGAGAUGGCUUUAGGGUCGGUUUUAUUUGCUUAUUCUUAGGUCAAGGACAUCGGCCAGACAGUGAUAAGGACAGGAGCUGGUGUCUUAACCGGAGCAACAGACAUUCAAGCUGAAUGAGGCUGAAUGAGCACAGAAGGGGGAAGGGGGAAGAGGAAACACUUGCGAUAAAAUAGGGAAGAAGCAAAGCUACCUCUGCCAAGAAAGCCAGCUUCUCACUGAAGCUCUCCUGAUUGGGGAGUGUUCCUAAGAGAAUCAGCCUCUGCCAGGAGAUGGAAGUGGCUUAUUUUGAAGACAACAUCCUCACACGUGUGUGUCCCUGUAUAUCUGGGACCCCCAGCUAAGUGUCAGUUCCUUGCUCAGAGAACCUGUGAUUGGGAUUCUCUGGGGGGAAAUGUUCAAAAUGAAUCAAUUAUCACCACCAGCAGAGAGUUCAAUACCACUGUACAGGGACCCAGCUUUGUAUUAGUGCAUGAAUGAAUUACUGGUACUCAUGUCAUUUGCAAAUAACCAUCAUUAUAGCGCAGUGGAAAAUUCCCCCUACCCAUUUAGUCUAAGUAGCACCUUAGCAGAGCAUUGCAAUAACCCUCAUGGACCCUCCAAAAUAUUUGCACAUAUAUGUUCAGAUUAAGCUCCAGAUAGUUUAAUAUGAGAGUAUCUAUUUGGACACAAGGUCACCCCUUACACUCAUUAAACCAAUCUGAAUGAGGUCUGAUAACUCUUAAGGGAAAUCAGCACUUGAAAUGCUUUCGACUUUUUGGAGACACGGAUGGAAUAUAUCAGCAGGCUUCGCUCAGCAUGAGACAGCUCUGAAAACUCCAGAAAGGACAUAUCGCUGUCCCACCCCACCCUCAGAGUCGUUCUUCACACAUCUAAGGCUUGUGGUGGGUGUGAAUUUAAUGUAAGGGGUGGGGGGAGUGGAGAACUUUACAGAAAAAGUGUGUUUCUUCUGACCAAAUCUGAUCUGAGUCAAUUUUUCUGCUGAUUCCUCCUACCCAGUGGGAAUUUUUAAAAAAUACAUAACGAGCACAUUUUGUGUUCUAAAGGACAUGAAUAAAAUGAUCCAGAGCUGUGGAGA
rnacentral:lncRNA from 1 species